AACCAUCUUGCACAUACUUCCAUGCUUUCUGGACUAUGGGCUCCAUCCAAAUAAAACACAAGUCCAUUGCUUUCAGUGUUGAUAUAACGAUCAGGAACAAUUUGAGCUCGUCCUUGCAAACAGGCUGUUGUUAGCCCCUUAAUAAACUGCUCAGGUAGUGAGCUAGUUUGCUCCAAGUAGGAGAUUUCAAGGUGACCAGUCCUUUGAAGCCAUUUAAAAGAUAGUGCAAUGGCAAGACCAGCAUUUACAUACUGGUGCUCACCUUCAAGACCAAGUUUUAGGCCAUUCAGCAAGUUGGAAUCUAAUGGUUGUGCCACUUGAAGAGGUACAUCUCGCUUAGAAGCCUUCUCUUCAAGCACACACAUUGC
rnacentral:misc_RNA from 1 species